rnacentral:rRNA from 1 species
UACGGGGGGGGCGAGCGUUAUUCGGAAUUACUGGGCGUAAAGGGCGCGCAGGCGGCUGAAUAAGUCAGGUGUGAAAGCCCGUGGCUUAACCAAGGAAGUGCAUUUGAUACUAUUUGACUUGAGUAUGGGAGAGGGGAGUGGAAGUCCUAGUGUAGAGGUGAAAUUCGUAGAUAUCAGGAAGAACACCGGUGGCGAAAGCGGCUUCCUGGACCAAUACUGACGCUGAGGCGCGAAGGCGUGGGGAGCAAACAGG